AAGAACGCUCAAACAGGCAACUGCUGCACAAGCAGGACAACAACCCAUUCACCACCACAAAUUUGAGACAAUGCUGAGAGUUGUGGGACAUUUGUUGUGUCUCUUUAUAUGCUGUCGGGGAGCUGGUUGCUUGACAGAGACACUGGUGGAACUUGGACAGAAUACAACCAUUAACUGUUCUCUUAACAUAGAAAGUGCAUACUGGUACAUUCAGCACCAACCACAGCCUCCACAGGCCAUACUCCGCUCUUUCACUAGUAGGAGUCCUGCUGCUUUUUAUUACAACAAGAAUUAUAGACAGAAAUAUUCAUUAGAAACAGGUCAUAGAUUGUUAAUACAUAUUGUAACAGUAGAUGAUUGUGGAGUGUACUACUGUGCAAAGAAAGAAGACCAGAGUCUCCUAUUUAGCAAUGGUACCAGACUCAUGACCGCUGACUAUCUAAACCAGACAUCCAGCUGCAGGUCAUCAUGGGAGAACUGUCUUCUGUUCAUUUACAGUGUUCUGAAUGUUAUUCUGAUGGUUAUGAUCCUGGGUGUGUAAAUGGAAAUACUAGAUAAUAUCAAAAUGUAAAAGUUUGAAAUAGUUUAACAUUUAAAUGUUUGCUGAGUAGCCAAUGUUGCUUGUGCAAUGUUGAUAUUGACAUAUCCUAUGAUGUUGGUUUGUAUUUCAGUACAUAUCGUGGCCUUGGCAUGUCAGAACAGAAACUGUAUUAUAAAACUAAGACCACCUCAAGAUGCAGACCAGAGCUAAGAGACUUGUUGUACACCACCUGAACAGUUGCAGCAUUCUCCCUCACAAAUUGAUUAAACUUAACAGUAUCAAAUACUGAAAACCAUACAACAUAUCAUGAUAACUAACUGUAGGUAUGGUCUUUUUAAAAGAUGAAUUGCAUUGUUGUUUUGACAGAAAUCAGUGACACAGAUCACAUCACCACCAAGAAGAUUCCAUCCUGAACUUGUAUCAAUAAUUACAAUUGCAGUAUAGUUCAUGCUUCCACAAGCGCAAACUAACAACUUCUGCAAUGGGUAUAUUCUUAGAAUCACUUCCUGUAGAAUGAUACAAGUCAUGUGACAAUGUUACAGUGAACAAUGACUAAAAUACUAUUGUGAAUAUGCCUGUAUCCUAUCACCCCACCCCUUUCUACCGCUAGUCAGUAAUGAAUAAAUAUGUUUCUUCAUUUCCCCCUACUUUGACAUUUAAUUGCACUAAAACACAUGCAUGAUGUGGGUCUACUGCAGUGUUUCCCAAACUCGGUCCUCUGGACCCCAAAGGGUGCACGUUUCAGUUUUUGAAUUAGCACUACACAGCUGAUUCAAAUAAUCAACUAAUUAUCAAUAUUUGAUCAUUUGAAUCAGCUGUGCAGUGUUAGGGCAAAAACCGAAACAUGCACGCACCCCUUGGGGUCCCGAGUUUGGGAAACGCUGGACUAGUGUGUUAUUGUAUUCAUGAAUGGUCAAUCCAUUAGUGUAACUAUCUUCUAGUAAAAUGUCAUGAUUACAGUAAUCAGCUGCUUACCUUCCUUUUUGUUCUAAAGCUGUGACUUCUGUGGAAAUGUUCAAGAAAAUUGCAGUGAAGAUCACAGGAACAAAAUAAAGGUAUGACUCAUGACCCACUCAGUUGAAGGUAAAGUAGAGCAGUAGUUGUCAGAAAGAUAUUACACAGUGGAAAGUAACACACCACACCACCAC